rnacentral:rRNA from 1 species
GUAGGGAAUCUUCCGCAAUGGACGAAAGUCUGACGGAGCAACGCCGCGUGAGUGAAGAAGGCCUUCGGGUCGUAAAACUCUGUUGUCAGGGAAGAACAAGUACCAUUCGAAUAGGGUGGUACCUUGACGGUACCUGACCAGAAAGCCACGGCUAACUACGUGCCAGCAGCCGCGGUAAUACGUAGGUGGCAAGCGUUGUCCGGAAUUAUUGGGCGUAAAGCGCGCGCAGGCGGUCCUUUAAGUCUGAUGUGAAAGCCCACGGCUCAACCGUGGAGGGUCAUUGGAAACUGGGGGACUUGAGUGCAGAAGAGAAGAGUGGAAUUCCACGUGUAGCGGUGAAAUGCGUAGAGAUGUGGAGGAACACCAGUGGCGAAGGCGACUCUUUGGUCUGUAACUGACGCUGAGGCGCGAAAGCGUGGGGAGCAAACAGGAUUAGAAACCCGGGUAGUCC